rnacentral:rRNA from 1 species
AUGAGAAAAGGGAAAGCAAAAGGAUUUCGUGAGGAUGAAAAUGGAACCAUAUGGUUUGAGCAACGGAUUUGUGUACCCAAUGAUCCAGAGAUCAGGAAGUUGAUUCUUCAGGAGGCUCAUGACUCACCAUAUUCAAUACACCCAGGCAACACCAAGAUGUAUUUGGACUUGAAGGAAAGUUUUUGGUGGGCCGGUAUGAAGAGAGAGAUUGCCGAGUAUGUGGCAAUAUGUGAUGUAUGUCAGAGAGUAAAGGCAGAGCAUCAGAAACCAGCAGGUUUACUUCAGCCGUUGCCAAUACCUGAUUGGAAAUGGGAUAAACUUGGUAUGGACUUUAUCACGGGGUUACCCAGGACCCGUUCAGGUUAUGAUUCCAUUUGGGUGAUAGUGGAUCGUUUGACCAAGGUUGCCCACUUCAUUCCAGUGAAGACCACCUAUACAAGUGCUAAGCUGGCAAAGAUAUAUAUGACCAGGAUUGUAUGUCUGCAUGGAGUUCCGAGGAGCAUCGUAUCAGAUAGAGGAACACAGUUUACCUCAAGGUUUUGGAAUCAGUUGCAUGAAACUUUGGGUACCAGGCUAGAGUUUAGUACAGCCUUCCAUCCACAGACUGAUGGGCAGACAGAGAGAGUCAAUCAGAUUCUGGAGGACAUGCUGAGAGCGUGUGCGCUAGACUAUGGGUCUAGUUGGGAUGAUAACUUACCCUACGCAGAGUUCUCGUACAACAACAGCUACCAAGCCAGUUUGCAGAUGGCCCCUUUCGAGGCAUUGUAUGGCAGGAAAUGCAGGACACCUUUGAUGUGGAAUGGAGUUGGAGAUCGCAAAUUAUUUGGACCUGAUUUGAUUAGGGAUUCAGAGGAGAAGGUCAAGUUGAUUCGUGACAGACUUAAG